GGCUCUGUAGCUCAGAGGUUAGAGCACUGGUCUUGUAAACCAAGGGACAUGAGUUCAGAUCUCAUCAGGGCCU